rnacentral:rRNA from 1 species
UACGAAGGGUGCAAACGUUGCUCGGAAUCAUUGGGCGUAAAGCGCACGUAGGCGGCUUGCCAAGUCGGACGUGAAAUCCCUCAGCUCAACUGAGGACGUGCAUCCGAAACUGGCGAGCUUGAGUGCUGAAGAGGAUCGCGGAAUUCCCGGUGUAGAGGUGAAAUUCGUAGAUAUGCGGAGGAACACCGAUGGCGAAGGCAAUCCCCUGGGCCUGCACUGACGCUCAUGCACGAAAGCGUGGGAAGCAAACAGG